AACGAACGCUGGCGGCAUGCCUAACACAUGCAAGUCGAACGAGACCUUCGGGUCUAGUGGCGCACGGGUGCGUAACGCGUGGGAACCUGCCCUUAGGUUCGGAAUAACUCCCCGAAAGGGGUGCUAAUACCGGAUAAUGUCUUCGGACCAAAGAUUUAUCGCCUUUGGAUGGGCCCGCGUUGGAUUAGCUAGUUGGUAGGGUAAAAGCCUACCAAGGCGACGAUCCAUAGCUGGUCUGAGAGGAUGAUCAGCCACACUGGGACUGAGACACGGCCCAGACUCCUACGGGAGGCAGCAGUGGGGAAUAUUGGACAAUGGGCUAAAGCCUGACCCAGCAAUGCCGCGUGAGUGAUGAAGGCCUUAGGGUUGUAAAGCUCUUUUACCCGGGAUGAUAAUGACAGUACCGGGAGAAUAAGCUCCGGCUAACUCCGUG
rnacentral:rRNA from 1 species